GCUGUUCAAAUUCGUAUUUUUUCUUUACACUUUUUUUAUUCGAGCAUCACUAAUGAAUCUUUUAAAGACGACGAGCUCGUCUAAGCGUACAAAAUUAUAAAUACAAUGAAUUUGGUUACAUAUACUGUUAGAAUAUGCAUUAUCUUGGAUAUCAUUGCACAUGUUUUUGAUUUCUAAGUUAUUUAGUAACGCUUCCUUUAC
rnacentral:lncRNA from 1 species